CAGUAGUCGCGGUAAUACGUAGGGUGCGAGCGUUAAUCGGAAUUACUGGGCGUAAAGCGUGCGCAGGCGGUUAUAUAAGACAGAUGUGAAAUCCCCGGGCUCAGCCUGGGAAUGGCAGUGGAUACUGGCAAGCUAGAGUGUGUCAGAGGAUGGUGGAAUUCCCGGUGUAGCGGUGAAAUGCGUAGAGAUCGGGAGGAACAUCAGUGGCGAAGGCGGCCAUCUGGGACAACACUGACGCUGAGGCACGAAAGCGUGGGGAGCAAACAGGAUUAGAUACCCCAGUAGUCCCUGUCUCUUAUAC
rnacentral:rRNA from 1 species